rnacentral:rRNA from 1 species
CCACGUGUAGCAGUGAAAUGCGUAGAGAUGUGGAGGAACACCGAUGGCGAAGGCAGCCCCCUGGGAUGACACUGACGCUCAUGUACGAAAGCGUGGGUAGCAAACAGGAUUAGAUACCCUGGUAGUCCACGCCCUAAACGAUGUCAACUGGUUGUUGGGGGAGUGAAAUCCCUUAGUAACGAAGCUAACGCGUGAAGUUGACCGCCUGGGGAGUACGGUCGCAAGAUUAAAACUCAAAGGAAUUGACGGGGACCCGCGCAAGCGGUGGAUGAUGUGGAUUAAUUCGAUGCAACGCGAAAAACCUUACCUACCCUUGACAUGUCCAGGAUCCUGCAGAGAUGCGGGAGUGCCCGAAAGGGAAUUGGAACACAGGUGCUGCAUGGCUGUCGUCAGCUCGUGUCGUGAGAUGUUGGGUUAAGUCCCGCAACGAGCGCAACCCUUAUCAUUAGUUGCUACGCAAGGGCACUCUAAUGAGACUGCCGGUGACAAACCGGAGGAAGGUGGGGAUGACGUCAAGUCCUCAUGGCCCUUAUGGGUAGGGCUUCACACGUCAUACAAUGGUCGGUACAGAGGGUUGCCAAGCCGCGAGGUGGAGCCAAUCCCAGAAAGCCGAUCGUAGUCCGGAUUGUUCUCUGCAACUCGAGAGCAUGAAGUCGGAAUCGCUAGUAAUCGCGGAUCAGCAUGUCGCGGUGAAUACGUUCCCGGGUCUUGUACACACCGCCCGUCACACCAUGGGAGUGGAAUCUGGCAGAAGUAGGUAGCCUAACCGCUAGGGGGGCGCUUACCUCGCUGGGUUUCAUGACUGGGGUGAAGUCGUA